UACGUAGGGUGCAAGCGUUGUCCGGAAUUAUUGGGCGUAAAGAGCUCGUAGGCGGUUUGUCGCGUCUGCUGUGAAAUCUGGAGGCUCAACCUCCAGCCUGCAGUGGGUACGGGCAGACUAGAGUGCGGUAGGGGAGAUUGGAACUCCUGGUGUAGCGGUGGAAUGCGCAGAUAUCAGGAAGAACACCGAUGGCGAAGGCAGAUCUCUGGGCCGUAACUGACGCUGAGGAGCGAAAGCGUGGGGAGCGAACAGG
rnacentral:rRNA from 1 species